AAUACAGGUGCCCACAAGGGCCCAACAGAGAAGUCCGGUGAGAAUCCGGCGCGGUCCCGCCGCUGUAAGGGGGAGCGAACUUCAAAGAUGUCACUGAAACAAAAGGUUUUGGGAAGGCGAAGCGAGCGAUGAACCCAAGUCAGAAGAACUGCCUGUAUG
rnacentral:ncRNA from 1 species